ACGGAGGGUGCAAGCGUUAUCCGGAUUUAUUGGGUUUAAAGGGUGCGUAGGCGGAAAUAUAAGUCAGUGGUGAAAUCUUGCAGCUUAACUGUAAAACUGCCAUUGAUACUGUGUUUCUUGAGUAUAGUUGAGGUAGGCGGAAUGUGUAAUGUAGCGGUGAAAUGCUUAGAUAUUACACAGAACACCGAUUGCGUAGGCAGCUUACUAAGCUAUAACUGACGCUGAGGCACGAAAGCGUGGGGAGCGAACAGG
rnacentral:rRNA from 1 species